GAUGAACGCUGGCGGCGUGUCUAAGGCAUGCAAGUCGAAUGGUCUGGUUUCCAGACCAUGGCAAACGGGAGAGUAACACAUUGGUAAUUUACCCCAAAGACGAGAAUAAUCCAGAGAAAUCUGGAAUAAUACUCGAUAUUAUGCAUUGUCGCCUGAUAAUGCAUCAAAGCUCCGGCGCUUUGGGAGAAGCCUAUGGUCUAUCAGCUAGUUGGUGAGGUAAUGGCCCACCAAGGCGACGACGGAUAGCGGGUGUGAGAGCAUGACCCGUCUCACUGGGACUGAGCACUGCCCAGACUCCUACGGGAGGCUGCAGUCAAGAAUAUUCCUCAAUGGCCGAAAGGCUGAAGGAGCGACGCCGCGUGUAUGAUGAAGCCCUUCGGGGUGUAAAAUACUUUUAACCGGGACGAAGUACUGACGGUACCGGUUGAAUAAGGGCUGCUAACUCGUG
rnacentral:rRNA from 1 species